GUUGUGGCUCAGUGGUAGAGCACUUGCCUAGAAUGUGUGAGGCCCUGGGUUCGAUUCUCAGAACCACA
rnacentral:tRNA from 1 species